CCCUCUCAUUCACUUCUAAACAUCAACGCUCAAGAAUUUUCAAGAAAGCAUCAAGUUAGGGUUCUUUUUUCAAGAUUCUUCAACAAGGGUUUUCAAGAAAACAAAUCCAAGAAUUUCAAGAAAGGGUCUCUUGAUUGUUCUUCUUCAAGUUAAGAUUUUUCAUCAAGACUAUGGAGCUUUUAAGAGACAGGUUUAAGAGAUCAUCAAUAGGCGCACCGUUGAGGAUCUAUUCACACUC